rnacentral:pre_miRNA from 1 species
AUAGUGACAAACUAUCAGUUUGUUGCAACAUUAGUGAUCUAUUUCAGUUUGCUGCAAUAAUAGCGUGGAAAAUUAUCACAAAACUGCAACUUUUACGUGAUAUGCUACUACAUGACAAUUGUAGCAGCAUAUCACGUACUGUAGCAGCAUAUCACGUAAAAGUUACAGUUUUAUGAUAACUUCCCAUGCUAUUGUUGCAACAAACUAAAAUAGAUAACUAAUUUGUAGCAAAUUGAUAGUUUUAUCACUA